rnacentral:rRNA from 1 species
UGGGGAAUAUUGGACAAUGGGCGAAAGCCUGAUCCAGCCAUGCCGCGUGUGUGAAGAAGGUCUUCGGAUUGUAAAGCACUUUAAGUUGGGAGGAAGGGCAGUAAGCGAAUACCUUGCUGUUUUGACGUUACCGACAGAAUAAGCACCGGCUAACUCUGUGCCAGCAGCCGCGGUAAUACAGAGGGUGCAAGCGUUAAUCGGAAUUACUGGGCGUAAAGCGCGCGUAGGUGGUUCGUUAAGUUGAAUGUGAAAGCCCCGGGCUCAACCUGGGAACUGCAUCCAAAACUGGCGAGCGAGAGUAGGGCAGAGGGUGGUGGAAUUUCCUGUGUAGCGGUGAAAUGCGUAGAUAUAGGAAGGAACACCAGUGGCGAAGGCGACCACCUGGGCUCAUACUGACACUGAAGUGCGAAAGCGUGGGGAGCAAACAGG